rnacentral:rRNA from 1 species
CAAAACUUCAAAAAUAGGUCUCAGUUCGGACUGUAGGCUGCAACUCGCCUACACGAAGUUGGAAUUGCUAGUAAUCGUGGAUCAGCAUGCCACGGUGAAUACGUUCCCGGGUCUUGUACACACCGCCCGUCACACCAUGGGAGCUGGUAACACCCGAAGUCAGUAGUCUAACCGCAAGGAGGACGCUGCCGAAGGUGGGAUUAGCGACUGGGGUGAAGUCGUAACAAGGUAUC